GUUAUGCUCCUAUUUUAAAAACAUAUAUUGUGCUGAGACAACUUUAAUAAUCUUAUUGUUUUCUGUGCCCAAGAUUUCAGAAGUUUCCUGGUGAAUUCUUUUGCUACAAUUGAAAGAGGCUUUAAUAACCUCAAUUUUACUUCCAAUAUCCAUUUUUAAAAAAUAAAAACCCAUCUGCAAUGUGAUUUCAUGCAACACUUGGAAAUAGUAAUAAAUAAACGAUGAGAUUUAUUUAAACUGAUUGAGUUACAAGAAUAACUUUAAACAUUUUAACUAAUCCCUUUGUGUU
rnacentral:lncRNA from 1 species